rnacentral:rRNA from 1 species
GACUCCGACUUCAUGGGGUCGAGUUGCAGACCCCAAUCCGAACUGAGACCGGCUUUUUGGGAUUCGCUCCACCUUACGGUAUCGCAGCCCUCUGUACCGGCCAUUGUAGCAUGCGUGAAGCCCAAGACAUAAGGGGCAUGAUGAUUUGACGUCAUCCCCACCUUCCUCCGAGUUGACCCCGGCAGUCUCCCAUAAGUCCCCGGCAUAACCCGCUGGCAACAUAGGACGAGGGUUGCGCUCGUUGCGGGACUUAACCCAACAUCUCACGACACGAGCUGACGACAACCAUGCACCACCUGUGUACGAGUGUCCAAAGAGAACCCCGUCUCGGGGGCUUUCUCGUACAUGUCAAGCCUUGGUAAGGUUCUUCGCGUUGCAUCGAAUUAAUCCGCAUGCUCCGCCGCUUGUGCGGGCCCCCGUCAAUUCCUUUGAGUUUUAGCCUUGCGGCCGUACUCCCCAGGCGGGGCACUUAAUGCGUUGGCUGCGGCACGGAACUCGUGGAAUGAGCCCCACACCUAGUGCCCAACGUUUACGGCAUGGACUACCAGGGUAUCUAAUCCUGUUCGCUCCCCAUGCUUUCGCUCCUCAGCGUCAGUUGCGGCCCAGAGACCUGCCUUCGCCAUCGGUGUUCCUCCUGAUAUCUGCGCAUUCCACCGCUACACCAGGAAUUCCAGUCUCCCCUACCGCACUCUAGUCUGCCCGUACCCGAUGCAAGCCCGAGGUUGAGCCUCGGGAUUUCACACCAGACGCGACAGACCGCCUACGAGCUCUUUACGCCCAAUAAUUCCGGACAACGCUUGCGCCCUACGUAUUACCGCGGCUGCUGGCACGUAGUUAGCCGGCGCUUCUUCUGCAGGUACCGUCACUUGCGCUUCUUCCCUGCUGAAAGAGGUUUACAACCCGAAGGCCGUCAUCCCUCACGCGGCGUCGCUGCAUCAGGCUUGCGCCCAUUGUGCAAUAUUCCCCACUGCUGCCUCCCGUAGGAGUCUGGGCCGUGUCUCAGUCCCAGUGUGGCCGGUCGCCCUCUCAGGCCGGCUACCCGUCGACGCCUUGGUAGGCCAUCACCCCACCAACAAGCUGAUAGGCCGCGAGCCCAUCCCCCACCGAAAAACUUUCCAACCCACACCAUGCGAUGCGAGCUCAUAUCCGGUAUUAGACCCCGUUUCCAAGGCUUAUCCCGAAGUGGAGGGCAGGUUGCUCACGUGUUACUCACCCGUUCGCCACUGAUCCACCCAGCAAGCUGGGCUUCACCG